AGGAGGAUUAAUACUUUAUAACAGAUUUAAUGGCAUCAUUAGAUUUUGAAAGAUUUAUCGCAGUAGGAUAGGCAUGCGUAAGAUUAGUUAGUUGGUGAGGUAACGGCUCACCAAGACGAUGAUCUUUAGGGGGCCUGAGAGGGUGAACCCCCACACUGGUACUGAGACACGGACCAGACUCCUACGGGAGGCAGCAGUGAGGAAUAUUGGACAAUGGGUGGAAGCCUGAUCCAGCCAUCCCGCGUGUAGGAUGACGGCCUUAUGGGUUGUAAACUACUUUUAUCUGGGGAUAAACCUACUUACGUGUAAGUAGCUGAAGGUACCAGAAGAAUAAGCACCGGCUAACUCCGUGCCAGCAGCCGCGGUAAUACGGAGGGUGCAAGCGUUAUCCGGAUUUAUUGGGUUUAAAGGGUCCGUAGGCGGAUUAAUCAGUCAGUGGUGAAAUCUCAUAGCUUAACUAUGAAACUGCCAUUGAUACUGUUAGUCUUGAGUGAUGUUGAAGUUGCUGGAAUGUGUAGUGUAGCGGGUGAAAUGCUUAGAUAUUACGCAGAACACCAAUUGCGAAGGCAGGUGACUAAACAUUAACUGACGCUGA
rnacentral:rRNA from 1 species